AUGUUGCCUCAUUAUAACAUUUGGGUGUUUCUUAUAAGUGUCAAACUUUAUAGUUAGCCUUCUCAAUUUGGAAGCUAAAGUGCCUCCAAAGGUUUCCUUAAGAGCUUCCCACAACACAUGGGCAAUCUCAUACUUCUCACAUUCAUACAUUAUGUUAUUUUCCAUGCUACUCAGCCACCAUUCUUUUGGAAGUAUUUGCCAUGAUUAAUUCAACUACAUAGAGACAUAUGCACAUACUAUCAAUUAGCAAC
rnacentral:lncRNA from 1 species